ACCUUCGGGCCUCUUGCCAUCGGAUGUGCCCAGAUGGGAUUAGCUAGUAGGUGGGGUAACGGCUCACCUAGGCGACGAUCCCUAGCUGGUCUGAGAGGAUGACCAGCCACACUGGAACUGAGACACGGUCCAGACUCCUACGGGAGGCAGCAGUGGGGAAUAUUGCACAAUGGGCGCAAGCCUGAUGCAGCCAUGCCGCGUGUAUGAAGAAGGCCUUCGGGUUGUAAAGUACUUUCAGCGGGGAGGAAG
rnacentral:rRNA from 1 species